rnacentral:rRNA from 1 species
UAAAUAAAUAUAUCCCGAUCAGGUUCCCCUAACCGAACCGUAUUUCAACUUACAGCAAGUCCUUUAAAUAUAAACUCAAUAAGUAAAAAUUAAAUUUCUUGCUGUUGAUGAGUGGUUAGUACGAAGUAGCAAAAAAUUUCACCGUAACUCUAUUGUUUACGAUUACUAGCAAUUCCUCCUUUAUGUUACCGAAUUACAGAUAACAAUCCAUAAAUGAAACUAUGUCUUUUUCUUAAUAUUUAAUAUAACUUAAUAUAAUUAAUUUAAUUGUUAUUAAUAUUGUAACACGUCGAUAGCCCAUCUCAUUAGGGUCAUCAUGAUUAGUCUUCUACCUCUACUUCCUAUAAUCUUACAAUUAUACUUAUCAUAAAGAAAAGGGUUACGUUCAUUCAAUAACUUAAUAUUAAACCUCACGGCAUGAACUGACGACAACGAUGUAACGCCUGUUAAAUAUUCAAGAGAUGGUAAGGUUUUUGGAGGAUCAUCCAAUUAAAUGACAUGUUCCACUGCUUGGGACUACAACCGUCUAAUGUCUUGUAUUUCACCCUUGCGAGCGUACUAGUCAGGCGGAAUACUAUUCAUUUUCAAUUUUCUUUUUAUUGUAUUCAUUGUUUACUGCUACGACUAAAUGGGUAUCGAAUCCAUGUCGCUACCGUAGCCUUCAUCUCACAACGUCAAUAAUUUUAAGUAAUCUCUUUAUAGUCUUAAUUUUUUCUUCGGAUUUUAUCCCUCUAACUUUAAUUCUUAUUACCCUUUUAUUAUUCUAUAUAAAUUAAUACGUUCUACAGAUCCUUUAAGCCAUUCUGAUCAAUGCUUGCCCUCUAUGUCUAACCGCAGCUGCUGGCACAUAUUUUAGUUAGGACUCAUUCAUAAUUAGUAUCAUUAUUACUAUUAUUUUGAAAUUUAUAGUUUAUCUUUUAUUAGUUCCUUUUUUUUAAUAAUUUUCUCAUAGAUAACUUGAUCAGUCGUUAGACCAUUGUCAAAGAUUCCCCACUGCUGCUCUUUAUAAGAGUUGAUUUUUAUCAAUGUGGCCGUUGUGACUUUUAUCGUCGGCUUCAGUUCCAUGGCUAGAAAUAUCUAUUACCUACAUCUGUAUAAGAUUUAUUUUUUAUCUUAUUAUACUCACCUUAACGCUUAAUUUCUUAACUUGCAUGUGUUAUGUCUCUAUAUAGCAUUAGAUCUGAACCAACAUCAUGUUCUCUUAAUU